AUGAAGAUGGUCACUCCGAGCUUUCUCCUGUGGGGGCUUCUGCUUUAUAUUCAGGGAUCCUGUGGACAGAUUGUGAUGACUCAGACUCCAGACUCUGUCUCUGUGUCACCAGGAGAACGCGUCACCAUGACAUGUAAAGCCAGUAGUAAUGUUAACAGCUAUGUAGCCUGGUACCAACAGAAACCAGGACAACCCCCAAAGCUCCUGAUCUAUUAUGCCAGCAGCAGAUACACCGGGACCCCAGAGCGGUUCAGCGGCAGCGGGUCGGGAACUGAUUUCACUUUUACCAUCAGCGGAGCGCAAGCAGAAGAUGCAGCAGAUUAUUACUGUCAGCAGGGUUACACCCCUCUCACAGUGAUACAGAGCCGUACAAAAACCUUCCUCUUCCAUCUCUAUUAUAUCAUACAGAAUAGAAACCGCUGAUAAAAAUAUUCUAAAGCUCAGCGCAGGUGUUUAGCCCCGAAUCACUAACACAGAAUGUAUAUGCAAAGUCUGCAGUACUGUUACACAGCUUUUCCAAAUCACAAAGCUACUUUUCUUUGAAACAUUUUUUCUAAAAAUAA